rnacentral:lncRNA from 1 species
AGCAAGGAGGCAAAGGUGAAUUCCACUGACAAUAAUCCAAAUAAGAAGGAUGAGGAGGGCUCCAUCAAAAGACAAGAUGGGCAAGAAAUGGGACACUUAUGGAGAGAGCAGGAUAUUUUGUCAGCAGAGACUAGAUAUACUUGUUUGCAGUAUUUUUUUUGAAUGUUUGAAAUUUUGUUAGGUGAGAAGGAGCGAGUUUUAAUUUUAUUUCACAGACAGAGCUUUAGCCUGGCUAUCUAUUUAUAUGCACAGAUGUGGGAGUUGCAUUCAGUGCUGGUUUAUGACCAUGACUGGGGUUUUCUGGAAGACUUUCAGACUUCUGCUUGUUUCUUAUUUGUCCCUGAAAACUGAAGAGGUGAACUACUUUGAGCAUGUGAUCCACACAUUGCCUGGUGAUCAUGGGACUAAGACCGACUCUCAUCCUGCCUCUGGGCCUGAUCCUGACCUACACUGUCUGCUCAGCAUCUUGCCCUCAGCUCGGUGAGGUCCCUGAGCCCUCCUGCCCUGCUGUCACUUGGCUCCUGCUCACCUUCCCUUAUUGCGGCAGCCAGCCAUUGAUGCUCCCUGGCACAAACACAACUGUAAGAAAAAAAGUUUCCAUUCUAACUUGUAAAAGCAUUAGUUGUAAUGUUUAAAUUUACUUCUUACAUGCCAGUAUGAUUUUGGGGAUUUCAAUGGAGGUAAUGAAGUGAACAUGGUAGCGAACAGCUUCCCUCUAUAGAGUAAGACUAUUCAUCUGAAUAUUUUGGUUUUGACUCUAUUCAUCUCAUUCUUUCUCAAAACAUUUUCAGUAUCUUGUCAAUGCCUCAAUUCAGAUUGUUAUGUUAAAUUAACAUUGUUGUGUUUAUGGACACAAUUACGAAAUGCACAGCAUUUAAAAUAGUGCUAACAUUUUCCCAGCAAUGAAAAUAUUUUAUAUGAGCAGUGCUUUUUUCAUUUUCUCUUUUAAUUAAGCAGAUUUUUUUCUACUAGUCCUCUCCCACAGUAAUAUAAAUUUUUCUUUUUUUUUCUUUUUUUUUUUUUUUUUUAAAAAUGUUGGUGUUUUUUGAAAGAUUCUACUCUCCUGAGAGUUGCAAAACAUUUAUUUAAAAUGAAAAUAAAAAUUGAUCUGUAAUCCUGACA